rnacentral:rRNA from 1 species
AACUUUCAACAACGGAUCUCUUGGUUCUGGCAUCGAUGAAGAACGCAGCGAAAUGCGAUAAGUAAUGUGAAUUGCAGAAUUCAGUGAAUCAUCGAAUCUUUGAACGCACAUUGCGCCCGCCAGUAUUCUGGCGGGCAUGCCUGUUCGAGCGUCAUUUCAACCAUCAAGCCCCAG